rnacentral:rRNA from 1 species
UGGGCAAGACCGGUGCCACCCGCCGCGGUGACACCGGCAGCUCAAGUGGUACCCGCUUUUAUUGGGCCUAAAGCGUCCGUAGCCGGUCUGAUAAGUCUCUGGUGAAAUCCCACAGCUUAACUGUGGGAAUUGCUGGAGAUACUAUCAUGACUCGAGGUCGGGAGAGGCUGGAGGUACUCCCAGGGUAGGGGUGAAAUCCUGUAAUCCUGGGAGGACCACCUGUGGCGAAGGCGUCCAGCUGGAACGAACCUGACGGUGAGGGACGAAAGCCAGGGGCGCGAACCGGAUUAGAUACCCGGGUAGUCCUGGCCGUAAACGAUGUGGACUUGGUGUUGGGAUGGCUUCGAGCUGCCCCAGUGCCGAAGGGAAGCUGUUAAGUCCACCGCCUGGGAAGUACGGCCGCAAGGCUGAAACUUAAAGGAAUUGGCGGGGGAGCACCAC